rnacentral:rRNA from 1 species
UGAGGAAUAUUGGUCAAUGGGCGCAAGCCUGAACCAGCCAUGCCGCGUGCAGGAAGAAGGUCCUAUGGAUUGUAAACUGCUUUUAUUUGGGAAUAAACCUAUUUACGUGUAGAUAGCUGAAGGUACCAAAUGAAUAAGCACCGGCUAACUCCGUGCCAGCAGCCGCGGUAAUACGGAGGGUGCAAGCGUUAUCCGGAAUCAUUGGGUUUAAAGGGUCCGCAGGCGGACUUAUAAGUCAGUGGUGAAAGCCUACAGCUCAACUGUAGAACUGCCAUUGAUACUGUAAGUCUUGAAUAUGUUCGGAGUGGGCGGAAUGUGACAUGUAGCGGUGAAAUGCUUAGAUAUGUCACAGAACACCGAUAGCGAAGGCAGCUCACUAGACCAUUAUUGACGCUCAUGG